rnacentral:rRNA from 1 species
AGGGUUUCGGCUCGUAAAACUCUGUUAUUAGGGAAGAACAAAUGUGUAAGUAACUGUGCACGUCUUGACGGUACCUAAUCAGAAAGCCACGGCUAACUACGUGCCAGCAGCCGCGGUAAUACGUAGGUGGCAAGCGUUAUCCGGAAUUAUUGGGCGUAAAGCGCGCGUAGGCGGUUUCUUAAGUCUGAUGUGAAAGCCCACGGCUCAACCGUGGAGGGUCAUUGGAAACUGGGAAACUUGAGUGCAGAAGAGGAAAGUGGAAUUCCAUGUGUAGCGGGUGAAAUAAA